UGAGGGCUUUGUCCAGUACAGCAAACGCCCCACAUCUGAACAGGUUGCAGAAGAAUACUUGAAUGAGCUCGUUGACAGAAGCUUGGUUCAAGUUUCAGAGAGAGAUAUUUCUGGACGAGCUAGAAUCUGCCAAGUUCAUGAUCUUAUGCACGAGAUCAUCAUCAGAAAAACUGAAGAAUUGGGCUUCGGUCGUGUGCUGAACGGAGAGGACUUGAGUCGCUGCAGUAAAACUCGACGCAUUACUAUGCAGAGAAGUAUUGAUGAUGGUGCUUUAGUGAGCAUCAAGGACUCGAAGGUCCGUUCUGUUUUUCUGUUCAAUAUAGAUAAGCUGCCCGACUCUUUCAUGAAUGCAAAUAUUGCCAAUUUCAAGCUCAUGAAAGUACUAGAUCUGGAAGAUGCUCCUAUAGUUUACCUUCCUGAAGGAGUGGGAAACUUAUUCAAUUUGCACUACUUGAGUGUGAGAAAUACAGAAGUAAAAAUAAUUCCCAAGUCCAUUGGAAAUCUUCUCAGUUUAGAGACUUUGAAUAUGAAAAAUACUUUGGUGAGAGAACUUCCAGUAGAGAUCAGGAAUCUUAAAAAGUUGCGUUAUCUAAUGGUGUAUCAGCUCAAUUAUACCGCAGGUGGAACAGUAGCAGAAGAAGCAGCAGCGAAAUUACACGAGGGCUUUGGGUCUCUAACGAAUCUGCAGAAGUUGUGUAUUAUAGAAGCUGACUCUGAAGCGCUCAAAGAGCUUAUGAAGCUAAGGCAGUUAAAAAAGUUGAGCAUUAGGCCCCAAAAUGGAAGUGGCAAGGAUCUGUGUGCUUUGAUUGCAAAUUUGGAAAACCUAGAGUCUUUAAAUGUAGGAAUGAAAAGCAAAGAAGAAGUACUUGGCUUGCAGUCUUUGAGUCGUCCUCCUCGAUAUCUGCAGCGUCUGUACUUGAAGGGGAAUAUGAAGAAACUGCCGGAUUGGAUUUUUAAACUAAAAAAUGUAAUCAGAUUGAGUUUGGUACUGUCGGGAUUGACUGAGGAGCCAAUUAGAGUCCUUCAAGCCUUGCCUAAUUUAUUGGAUCUUUUACUCACAGGGACAUACAACUACGAGCUUUUUCACUUUGAAGCAGGUUGGUUUCCAAAACUCCAAAUAUUGAAGCUCUUUGACUUCGUCGCGGUGAAAUCGGUUAUAAUAGAGAAAGGUACGAUGCCUGAUAUUAAAGAACUGCAGAUUGGGCCUUGCCCGCUGUUGAUGGAGAUUCCUAUUGGAAUUGAACAUCUUAAAAACCUUAAGCUACUUCUAUUUGCUCGUAUGGUUAAACAAGUGUAUUACAUGACAAAAGACGAGAACUGGGAGAAGGUUACUGAGCAUAUACCAGAUGUCCUUGUCACUUUUGUGAAGGCCGGGCAAGUGUUUCAUUAUGGAAAAGAGGAUCUCUCGGUUCUCUCAUCUCUCUCUCCUGAAUAUGUUGAGCAAAUCUGCUGAAGUAGAGGACUCAAAUAAGGAGCAGUCUAUGAAAUAAGUAAACAGGUCUGCCACUCUCCUGCGUAUUUGAAUUAUUUUCUAUUUACGUUUAAGAAAAAUUAUUUUUCUCAUUUUUAAUUUGACAGACAAUUUAAUUAUAUAUAAUUCAAAUAAAAAUUCACCAAGAAAAUUCAUUUUUCCCUGUAAUUUGAGUACGUUUAAUAAAUAAAUAAACAAAUGCAGUAGGUCAGUAAAUCUUUUUCUAGUCAAAUAUAUAGUUAGAAUCAUAUAAUGAUUAGGUAUUAAUGUUAGUAUAGUAAUUUCCGUUAUAUUUUUUGUUACCAUGAACAGAUGGAGUAUGUAUAUCUUCCUUCUGGUGAAUUCAUUGAUGAGUUCAUCGAACCUAUACUGGAUCAGAUUGUGGCGGCAAGCUGCUAUUGAUAUGCUUUGAGUUUGAGUAAUUAUGAUAAGUGUUAUCAUGUAAUAAAUGCUUAUGUGAGUUGUUGCGGCCGUGAGUGUGAGUGUAUUCUUCUAUAUACAUCCAAGACUGAGAUUAUAAUUUUAGAAAUGUUGUAUUGCUAUUGUAAGGAAUUGUCGUCAUAUAAUAUUCAGUGUUUAAUAUAAUAGUCGGAAUUUUUUUUUUUUUUUUGAAAUUGCUGUGAGUCUUGGGAGGCUCACUCAUUGUAAUUGAUAUGUUAAACUGAUUAAGGAAGCGGGAAGCAUAAAGUAGACCAAAGUGUUGAAUAGUUCUUUAAAAGAGAAAUAUUGCUAGAAAUUUUAAUUUUAUUUAUUUAUUUAUUAUGUCAUGGUUUUAUUUAUUCAUAAAAUUGAAAGCCACAAUGUUGAGUCUCUUCACAGUAAAAGAAACUUGUGGCCCUAAAUGAUCGUUAGAAUUUAAGAAUAUAUAUAUAAUUUUUUUUUUCAUGUUACUAAGAUUUUUUUUUUAUUUCCAUUCAAAAUUAACCAUUAAAAAGAAUUAAAUUUAAGAAAAGCCAAUUAAAAAGAAAUUGUAACCGUUGCUCCAUUGUGAAAAUUACGUUCAACAUCUCAAGAAAACAAUCUUAGUUGGAAGAAAUUCCGGAAAAAUAUAGAUGGGUUUUUGAAUUUGAAAUUUAAACUCAAUUAAGGAAACUAGUAAAUAAAAGGAAACACAAAACCAUAUUGGCCGUGGCCGUGGCCGUGGACCUGACAACAUAGCCCUCCGAUAAUUUCAAUCUCUUUAUCAUCCUUCCUAAAACACCCUUCCAAACUUCUCAAACUAUAGAAGACAGAAUCACAGACAGGAAUUACAUCAGGGCUAAUUAUGUCAUUUUAAAUUCCUGGGUCAAAUCUGGUGAAGUAUUGUCCUCGUCAUGAUCAUUUGCCAUGCAAAAGUAUAACAAACUCUUCGGCAAUCUCACUACUACUAUGGCAAUAGUGGCUGAAGGUGCUGAAAAAGUAGAGGAAAAAUAAACGGGUUUGACGGGGAAAAAAAAAAGAAGAAGAAGAAGAAGAGAAAUGGAUAAUGCAUUAUUCAUCAAAACAUAAAAUACUGCCGGGCGAAGGAGAUUUCUCUCUUUCUCUCCCAGAAAUUUGGCUCUGCUUCUCACAUCUGCGCUUCUUCUCUUGAUUCUUAUGGUACGGUAAUAUAAUCAAUUUUACGGAAAAAGAAAAAUAGAGAAUUGUAAAAUUACCAGGAAAAUUAUUAAAAAGUAUUAUUAUCUGUUUACAUAUCUUGUUUAUUUGGAAGUCAAUAUAAACUAUAUUUGGAUGGUUUAGAAACUGUCAUUCAGAAAUUCAAGAAGGCAGAGUCAAAUUUGGACACUCUAAAUUAAGAAGCUGGGAGCGUCCCUUAUCCAUGGAGUUGAUGCAACUGAAAUGAAGCGUCAUCCUGAAUUGAGAGAGCGGAGCGUUGACAGAAUUAUCUUCAACUUCCCCCAUGCUGGCUUUUCUGGAAAGGAAGACAACAAUCAACUUAUUUAGUGAGCUGCUUUAAGAUACAGUUCCUUGUAGAAAUUUUCUGUUUCUUCUGAAUUGCUUCCCGAUUUGAAACUUUCAUUUCUUUUGCAAUGAUCCAGCUAUUCAUUGUGUUAAGGAAGCUCACACUUGCAAUUUGGUCAGCAGAGCAGAGGAUCACAGCAGCAGCUACAUUCAGUUGCGAAUUGAUGACGUGGCUUGCCAGCUGGCGCCUGGUGGUUAUGUGAACAGUUGUGCAUGUGUUAAUUAACUUAAGCUAUUAUAAUUAGUUACUUGAAAUAGUUAAUUAGCUAUAGUUAGUUACAACAAUCUGAGCUGAGCUUCAGCUUAGUAUAAAAAGGAACCUCUUGUACAUAUCAACGUGUGUGUGAUUAAUGAAAUGAUGUUCUAGAAAAAUCUCAGAUCUAGUUCUUAUUUCCUUUCAAUUUUCUCACUGGUUUCUCAGCUGCCAAACAAUAUUUUCGUUCUUCAACUCAUUGUCACUUUUUGAUGUUAAUACAGGGAUUAACAACUCAUGCUUUUGAAGAUCUCACGGAUAGGAUUGAAACUUAAUUGAAAAGUAUAGUUUCUAAAGGAGAAUUGCUAAAUUGCUGAUGAAGAAAUUAUAGUCUCGUUUAUUUGGAAGUUAAUAUAAACCAUCUUUGGAUGGAUUAGAAACUGUCACUCAGAAAUUCAAGAAGGCAGAGUCAAACUUGGACACUCUAAAUUAAGAAGCUGGGAGCAUCCCUUAUCCAUGGAGUUGAUGCAACUGAAAUGAGGCGUCAUCCUGAAGUGAGAGAGCGGAUCGUUGAUAGAAUUAUCUUCAAAUUCCCCCAUGCUGGCUUUUCUGGAAAGGAAGACAACAAUCAACUUAUUCAAUGAGCUGCUUUAAAAUACAGUUCCUUGUAGAAAUUUUGUGUUUCUUCUGUAUUGCUUACUAAUCUGAAACUUUCAUUUCUUUUGCAAUGAUCCAGCUAUUCACUGUCAUCGUUUGAUGUUAAUACGGGGAUUAGCAACUCAUGCUUUUGAAGAUUUCAUGGAUAGGAUUGAAACUUAAUUGAAAAUCAUAGUUUCCAAAGGGGAAUUGCUAAAUUGCUGUGAAGAAAUUAUAGUCUGGUUUAGAUUUAGAUACAAGUUGAAAGCGAAAACCCAGCUUUGAUUUUAAGGGAUCUGGGAUUUGGAUGACUCUUGCAUAUAUAGAAUAUUUUUGUAAUGUUUGCUUUCAAUGGUUGAUUACUUGUUAGUGAGGAAUUUCAGAGUGACAAAAAAUGCAGAGUCCUGUGGAAACGUGGUGUUAAGAAUAGAAUCAAGUUAGUUAAUGAGAAUGCUGACAUGGCAGCUGAGUCAGCUAAAGGUUGUUAUAGAAGUUGUUAGUAGUAAUCUGCGCGUGUGUGCAAUGUGUGUAGAAUCUUCUAUGCACAUAUAUAAAAAGGCUUGUAACCUCCAGAUUCAUUAUGAUCAAUAAUAACAGAAUUUUCAGUAUACAGAAGUUUUCUUUCUUUCUAUUUUCUCAAUAACCAAACAACAUCACAGUUUCAUAUAAAACUUAAUACGUGGGUCGAUACACUACAGUGACAUGAAAAUGGUUAAAAAAAAAAAGAGUGAACUUGCUUAAUAAAGUGAUCCGUUUUGCUUAAAAAUUCAAAACAUUGUAGUCUAGAGUUCCCUGUGAUAUUUUAAAAAUCACUAAUUCUGAAAAUGCUGGCUCGUAUACCUGUUCGAUGAUCGUUCUUCUGGUAAUCGCAGAAUCCAUAUGAGUCUUGUGGAAGGUUUCUUGAAAUGCAAGUGGCAUGCUGAGGCAUAGUUGUGAAGUUCAUGUAACCCACAAAACAACUGCUCCAUUUCGCGACUGGAAUAUCGAGGAACUUGCUCCCAAACACUGUUUGUCAUCAAUGUACCCUGUCAACCUUAAAAAAGAAGACUACCCUGGUUACAACAACAAGAGAGGAGCUGGUUUGAACUGUGAUGAGCCCUUCCCCUUGGGAGAGUGCAGUACCUUCAUAUUUGGAUUCUAUCGUGCUCGCAAGAGAGUAAUGAGUUAUGGUGGAUUCGCUAACAAAAGACAUCAGCCGGUUCAAGAGAUUCCAAUCCAAGUGCAGAAGGAUGGAACUCCAUUUGACUCGAGAUAUGCUAAUGCAAAGUCAGCCACUGGUAUGAAUGAAUUUCCAGCCUCUUCGAAGUUUAAUGGCAGCGGCAGGGGUUACUCUGUUCGUGAAUAUCCUAGGUUUGACAGUUUCAUACAUCCUCGAACAAGUUUCACUAGAAAUAUGACUGAUCAUCCAGCAUAUAAGAGACUAGCUUUGAUGAGUAAUAUACGGAGAGAAAAUGCUAGGUCCCAUAAUGGCCGCUUCAAUAGUUCCAUAAUUCUGUGUGAAAGGUAUAUCGCAGAAGUACCAGGAUUCCAAAGAGAAAAUGCGAGGAGUUUGUAUCCUAUGGAUGAAAGUCACUUGUUAAGGUUUCAAACAAUCAAUUUUUCUUACACCGUCUAUUUGGAAGAAUUAGAACAAGGGAGCAAAAAAUUCUUAUGCUGAUAGUUCCCAUUCUCCAUAAUUUUUUGUAGUGCAUGUUUUUAAGCAUAUCUAGCAUUACUGAAUGAAGUAGAAAUUUCAGGAAGCCAAGAAAUUUUGUGUGCAUUGAUUGCCUCUAGAUUUUAAAUUCAAUUGAUCUCCCCUUGGUUGAAGUAGAUGAUAGUAAAUAGUAUCUGUUUUAUUUCAGAUUCCAAAAACAAUCCUCCAUGUGAAUAGUUAAGUAGAGAUCCGCAUUGCUUUCUUUUUCUUUAGAGGAAUGGCUGAUUCCUUCGAUCAUGACAUUAUAUCACAGCCUUCACAAUCACAAAAACUCGAGUAAUUCUAAUCAUAUAACCAAAAAAGAGUUGAGUUCGAGCUCCUUCAUUUUAACUGAUUUAUUAUGAUGGAUAACAACAAAUGAUGAGAUGGUGUCGGAUAUGAGAAUGGGAAUUAGUUGUCAGCGAGAAAAUUAAUUUAUCAAGAAUACAGUUAGUCGCAGAAACUCUCCUAGUCCUUGGAAGUAAUUUAAAUGAAAGGUGCAUCAAUUUGUUUGUGUAGCAUACUGUAUGGCUAGAGAGUUUCAUGGUCUUGGUCUUCGCAGUUUUCUUAUUGGUGUGGUUUGGUUUUCUUUAUUUUUUGCCGACAAAUAAACAAAUCAACUUGCAAUAAAAUAAAUAUUAAAAUACUCUGAAAAAGCUCAAAUGCCGACAAAUUCCAGGUUGUUCAGUUCAAAAUUAAUUCUAUAGUAAGUAUGAAGAAUAAAAUAAAAGCAAUCAAUUUGCAAAUUGAAAAUUCUGCAUUCCUAAACCAAUGUCCAAACAGGGGUAAACAUGUCUGCAAACAUAAACAAUGAUCAAACACUGUUUGCAAAAGCAUCAAUCUGCUUUGUAAAUUAGACCUGCUGGUGUGAUAUGGCGGAGGCUGCGGUGAACUGUGCAAUAGAGACCUUGGGUCCUUUGCUUGUCGAAGAAAUCAGAUUGUGGGGAGGUGUUAGAAAAGAAGUUCAAAGCAUCAAAAGCGAACUGGAGAGUCUCAGAUCUGUCCUCAAAGACGCGGAUGCAAGGGCAGCAGUCGAAGAAUUAGAAGGAGGCGGUGAGGAAAGUGUCAGAACUUGGGUGAAACAACUGAGGGAUGAAGCUUAUCGCAUUGAAGAUGUGAUCGACGAGUACACACUCAUGGUGGCAAAACUCCCUCAUGGGAGUGGCCUCGUUGGUGUUCUCCAUAGAAUCAGUCGUUCCAUAAAGAAGCUGAAGCUGCGGCGUGGAGUUGCUACUGAGAUUCAAGAUAUCAAAUCAGCGCUUGCUGAUAUAAAGCGAAGGGGAGAAAGCUAUCGAUUCAGAUCUAUUGAUGAACCAUCGAGCAGUGGAACCAGAAAUGUUAUCCCACAUGACUCUCGAGUUCGUUCCUUUUUCGUUGAAGAUGAUGAAGUUGUGGGCAUCGAAUCCAUUAAAGAUAAAUUGAUUGAUUUGAUGGUGAACGGAAGAUCCGAACGUUCAGUGGUUGCUGUGGUGGGUGAAGGAGGACUAGGCAAGACCACUCUUGCCGGAAAACUUUUUAACAAUGAUGGUUUAAAAACUCACUUCAGUAGCCGGGCUUGGGUCACCGUUGGGAAAGAAUACAACAAAAAUGAAUUGUUGAGGACAGUUAUAAAGGAGUUUCACAGUUUCUCAGGGCAGCCUACUCCAGUCGAGAUACACAAAAUGGAAGAGAUGGAGCUGAUCACCACGCUGAGGGGCCACUUGAAGGACAAGAAUUACGUGGUUGUGUUCGACGAUGUUUGGAAGAUUGAUUUUUGGGGAGACGUGGAGCAUGCUUUACGUGAUAACAAGAAAUGCAGCAGGAUAAUUGUCACAACACGGCACAUGAAUGUCGCUAAGGCUUGCAAAUCAUCUUCCCCUGUUCAUAUCCAUGAGCUUGAAACUUUGCCUCCAAUUGAAGCGUGGAAACUUUUUUGUAGAAAGGCUUUCGGACCAAGCUCCGGAGGCUGUUGUCCUUCAGAGUUGAAGGAGUUGUCCCAGGACAUCCUUGGAAAAUGUGGAGGUUUACCUCUUGCUAUCGUGGCCGUAGGUGGACUUCUUUCAACCAAGAACAGGGUUGUAUCUGAAUGGAAGAAACUAUUUGAUCGGUUGGGCUCAAUCUUAGGAAGUGAUCCCCAUCUAAAAGACUGCAACAGAGUUUUAUCUGAAGGGUAUCACGAUCUUCCUCACCAUCUGAAAUCAUGUCUUCUGUACUUUGGCUUAUUUCAAGAGAGCUGCAAAGUUAACUGUGCUAGACUCAUCCGUUUGUGGAUAGCUGAGGGCUUUGUCCAAUACAGCAAAUGCCCCACGUCUGAACAAGUUGCAGAAGAAUUCUUGAAUGAGCUCAUUGACAGAAGCUUGGUAGAGGUUUCAGAGAGUGAUAUUUCUGGACGAGCUAGAAUCUGCCAAAUUCAUGAUCUUAUGCACGAGAUCGUCAUCAGAAAAACUGAAGAAUUGGGCUUCGGUCGUGUGCUGAACGGAGAGGACUUGAGUCGUUGCAGUAAAACUCGACGCAUUACUAUACAGAGAAGUAUUGAUGAUGGUGCUUUAGAGAGCAUCAAGCACUCGAAGGUCCGUUCUGUUUUUCUUUUCAAUGUAGAUAAGCUGCCCGACUCUUUCAUGAAUGCAAGUAUUGCCAAUUUCAAGCUUAUGAAAAUACUAGAUCUGGAAGAUGCUCCUGUAGAUUACCUUCCUGAAGGAGUGGGAAACUUAUUCAAUUUACACUACUUAAGUGUGAGAAAUACAAAUGUAAAAAUAAUUCCCAAGUCCAUUGGAAAUCUUCUCGGUUUAGAGAUUUUGGAUCUGAAAGAUACUUUGGUGAGAGAACUUCCAGUGGAGAUCAGGAAUCUGAAAAAGCUACGUUAUCUAAUGGUGUACAAGUACAAAUAUGACAGAAUUUCUACAAUCGAAGCUGUAGCCAGAGUGCGCGGGGGCUUUGGGUCUCUAACGGAUCUGCAGAAGUUGUCUAUUAUAGAAGCUGACUCUCAAGUGCUUCAAGAGCUUAUGAAGCUAAGGCAGUUAAGAAAGUUGGGCAUUAGGCCCCAAAAUGGAAAUGGCAAGGAUGUGUGUGCUUUGAUUGCAAAUUUGGAAAACCUAGAGUCUUUAACAGUAGAAAUGACAAGCAAAGAAGAAAUACUUGACUUGCUGUCUUUGAGUAGUUCUCCUCAAUAUCUGCAGCGUCUCUACUUGACGGGGAAUAUGAAGAAACUGCCGGAUUGGAUUUUUAAACUUAAAAAUCUAAUCAGAUUGGGUUUGGAACUGUCAGGAUUGGCUGAGGAGCCAAUCAGAGUCCUUCAAGCCUCCCCCAAUUUGUUGGAACUUAGACUCACAGGGACAUACGACUACGAGCUUUUUCACUUUGAAGCAGGUUGGUUUCCAAAACUCCAAAAGUUGCUUCUCUGGGACUUCGUCGCGGUGAAAUCGGUUAUAAUAGAGAAAGGUGCGAUGCCUGACAUUAGAGAACUGCGGAUUGGGCCUUGCCCAUUGUUGAUGGAGAUUCCUAUUGGAAUUGAACAUCUUAAAAACCUUAAGCUACUCAAAUUUGCUGGUAUGGUUAAACAAGUUUAUUACAUGACAAAAGACGAGAACUGGGGGAAGGUUACUGGGCAUAUACCAGAUGUCCAUGUCACUUUUGUGAAGGCCGGGAAAUGGUUUUAUUAUCGAAAAGAGGAUCUCUCAUCUCUGUCUCCUGAAUAUGUCGAGCAAAUCUGCUGAAGAAGAGGACUCAAGUAGGGAGCAGUCAUGCACAUCUAUGAAAUAAGUAAACAUGUCUGCCACUCUCCUGCGUAUUUGGAUUACUUUCUAUUUACUUUUAAGAAAAAAUAUUUUCUCAUUUUUAAUUUGACAGACAAUUUAAUUAUAUAUAAUUCAAAUAAAAUUUCACCAAAAAAAUUCCCUUUUCCCUGUAAUUUGAGUAUGUUAAAUAAAUAAAUAAAUGCAGUAUGUCAGUAAAUCUUUUUCUAGUCAAAUAUAUAGUUAGAAUUAGAGCUGGCAAAACGGGUCAUCGGGUCGUGUUCGUGUCGUGUCAGCUUCAUGUCGUGUCAAAUUUAGGUCGACCCAAACCCGACCCAUUUAAUAAUUGUGUCAAAAUAUUGAGACCCAAACCCGAC
rnacentral:lncRNA from 1 species